rnacentral:rRNA from 1 species
GAUGAACGCUGGCGGCGUGCCUAAUACAUGCAAGUCGAGCGAAUGGAUUGAGAGCUUGCUCUUAUGAAGUUAGCGGCGGACGGGUGAGUAACACGUGGGUAACCUGCCCAUAAGACUGGGAUAACUCCGGGAAACCGGGGCUAAUACCGGAUAACAUUUUGAACCGCAUGGUUCGAAAUUGAAAGGCGGCUUCGGCUGUCACUUAUGGAUGGACCCGCGUCGCAUUAGCUAGUUGGUGAGGUAACGGCUCACCAAGGCAACGAUGCGUAGCCGACCAGAGACGGUGAUAGGCCACACUGGGACUGAGACCCGGCCCAGACUCCUACGGGAGGAAGCAGUAGGGAAUCGUCCGCAAUGGACGAAAGUCUGACGGAGCAACGCCGCGUGAGUGAUGAAGGCUUUCGGGUCGUAAAACUCUGUUGUUAGGGAAGAACAAGUGCUAGUUGAAUAAGCUGGCACCUUGACGGUACCUAACCAGAAAGCCACGGCUAACUACGUGCCAGCCGCCGCCGUAA